rnacentral:rRNA from 1 species
AUUGAACGCUGGCGGCAUGCUUUACACAUGCAAGUCGAACGGCAGCACGGGAGCUUGCUCCUGGUGGCGAGUGGCGAACGGGUGAGUAAUGCAUCGGAACGUACCCAGUAGUGGGGGGAUAGCCCGGCGAAAGCCGGAUUAAUACCGCAUAUUUCCUGAGGGAGAAAGCGGGGGGACCUUCGGGCCUCGCGCUACUGGAGCGGCUGAUGUCGGAUUAGCUAGUUGGUGAGGUAAAGGCUCACCAAGGCGACGAUCCGUAGCUGGUCUGAGAGGAUGAUCAGCCACACUGGGACUGAGACACGGCCCAGACUCCUACGGGAGGCAGCAGUGGGGAAUUUUGGACAAUGGGGGCAACCCUGAUCCAGCCAUGCCGCGUGAGUGAAGAAGGCCUUCGG